ACGGGAGGCAGCAGUGGGGAAUAUUGCACAAUGGGCGCAAGCCUGAUGUAGCGAUGCCGCGUGAGGGAAGAAGGUUUUCGGAUUGUAAACCUCUGUCAACAGGGACGAUAAUGACUGUACCUGUGAAGGAAGCUCCGGCUAACUACGUGCCAGCAGCCGCGGUAAUACGUAGGGAGCGAGCGUUAUCCGGAAUUACUGGGUGUAAAGGGAGUGUAGGCGGGACUGUAAGUCAGAUGUGAAAUAUGCCGGCUCAACUGGCAGACUGCAUUUGAAACUUCGGUUCUUGAGUGAAGUAGAGGUAAGCGGAAUUCCUAGUGUAGCGGUGAUAUGCGUAGAUAUUAGGAGGAACAUCAGUGGCGAAGGCGGCUUACUGGGCUUUAACUGACGCUGAGGCUCGAAAGCGUGG
rnacentral:rRNA from 1 species